GGGCCCGCACAAGCGGUGGAGUAUGUGGUUUAAUUCGAUGCAACGCGAAGAACCUUACCAGGGUUUGACAUCCUGCGAAUCUCUUGGAAACGAGAGAGUGCCUUCGGGAACGCAGUGACAGGUGGUGCAUGGCUGUCGUCAGCUCGUGUCGUGAGAUGUUGGGUUAAGUCCCGCAACGAGCGCAACCCACGUCUUUAGUUGCCAUCAAUUCGGUUGGGCACUCUAGCGAGACUCCCGGUGUUAAGCCGGCGGAAGAUGGGGAUGACGUCAAGUCCUCAUGGCCCUUAUGUCUGGGCUACACACGUACUACAAUGGCAUUUACAGAGGGCAGCAAUACGGCAACGUGGAGCCAAUCCCAAAAAGAAUGCCUC
rnacentral:rRNA from 1 species